ensembl:lncRNA
CUGGGAGGUAGUGAGGGUGUGAGGGAGUCAGGAAAGGAUGGAGGGAGGGAGUCAGGAAAGGAUGGAGGGAGGGAGAAGUGAGGGAAAGGAUGGAGGGAGUCAGGAAAGGAUGGAGGGAGGGAGAAGUGAGGGAAAGGAUGGAGGGAGUCAGGAAAGGAUGGAGGGAGGGACUAGUGAGGGAAAGGAUGGAGGGAGGGAUUAGUGAGGGAAAGGAUGGAGGGAGGGACUAGUGAGGGAAAGGAUGGAGGGAGGGACUAGUGAGGGAAAGGAUGGAGGGAGGGACUAGUGAGGGAAAGGAUGGAGGGAGGGAGGAAAGGAGGGAGGGAGGGACUAGUGAGGGAAAGGAUGGAGGGAGGGACUAGUGAGGGAAAGGAUGGAGGGAGGGACUAGUGAGGGAAAGGAUGGAGGGAGGGACUAGUGAGGGAAAGGAUGGAGGGAGUCAGGAAAGGAUGGAGGGAGGGACUAGUGAGGGAAAGGAUGGAGGGAGUCAGGAAAGGAUGGAGGGACUAGUGAGGGAGUCCCGGUGUGAGGCAGAGAGGAGGCAUUUGAGGUUCUUCCUUUUUAUGCCUUGCCCUCUCUCUUAGAUCAUACCCACAGCAGUUUCAGAUUAAGAGUAGGGAGGAGGGAGGGAAAGGCACAGACAAAAAUGUGUUUCUGGCAAUCAAUUCCUCAAACUGCUUUUGCAAAGUUGGCCACUUUAUGAUGAGAGAGGGUAGUCUGCUUAUGGCCUAGAAGGAUCCACUCCCUGACUUCAACAGACCAGAGGUGUUGGUUGUUGCACGGAGCACAUUUCCCCGUCCAUUGACACACUAACCAUGCCAACUAUAGUGCCUCCAGAGAGUUCCUUGUUCACCGUGCGUGGGAGGAGCAGAAGCCUCAGAGUAUUAAGGGGUACGGAGGUCUUCGGAGAACAACUAAUUAUAGGUAAAGCAUGGCACAAAGGUUGCUAUUCAAGCGCUUCAGACCAUGACCAAAUUGGAUUCACCCGGUUUUAUUGAGUUCAGGCAGAGUGUUUGAUACACCGAGUUUGCCUUUUUAGGAAGGCGUCGUACAUCGUUAUAAAAUGCGUUCAGGUAUUUCAUUCAUUCUGGGGCCGGGCUGUUUCUAUAUUUAUAGAUGUAUUAUCAGAAUGGAAACGCUAGCUAGUUAAGUGUACCUUUUAACCGUCCAUGCAUUCUUUGCCUAAACACUUUACCAUAAGGGUACAUUAAUUAACACAGUUAACAUUAGUUAAUGAGCGUUAGUAAAUAAGCAUUAACUAUGUUGUUGGUGCUCCUGUAGUAGACGUUGGUGUCGGUGAAUCCUCAUAAUUCUUUGCACGGUUUACUGGGGUUGGAGGUACGCUGUGGUUGGAGCAGAAAAACGUCUCCUACUGGCUGCUGUCUCCAUGUCAGCUUGACCGUGUCUCUCUUUAUCCCCUUCUUCUCCAGCUUCUCACUAAGCUAGAACACACGCAACAUCAAAACACUUCAGAGGAAGACACAAACACGGCCAAAUGUCUCUGACAAUGUCACAAGAUACUCCUUCCCCUCAAACCCUUCAGGGCAGAAAUAUGUUCGGACUGAGGAUGGAAUUGCAUUUGAAUCAACAGCCUAAAAUGGUGGCGGUUACAAAAGCACAUGAUACCAUCUUUAAAAUGUCCGCCUUCAUUUGAGGGUCGAUGAGAUCCCGUGACGGCUCAGUGUGAGUUUAAAGAUGGAAGAUUUCGCUUUUUUUUCAGGUGUAGGACCUGCAGGUCAUAGUGGGAAGAAAACAAAACAUCACCAAUCUCAAACAUCAUCCCCAUCAAUUUAGGGCUAAGAGUUUUGUGAAGAGUUGUUUUGUAAGAGUGGGUAAACUUGAAGAAGGCAAUAUGAAUUAUUUUUGCCUUGGCCAGUGAUGAGACCAAAUUUCUUCCCACGUCACACUUAGAAUGAACUUCAUACAGUCGGUUUUACAUCAUUAUAGGAAAUUGCGAGCAAUUCGUCAGUUUCUUUGUUGCGGCCCCUGCUGCUGGCCUGUCUAGAUCGAAAUACCCACCAAUCAUUGUAGUUUCACAACAGAAGAUCUUAGAUUGAUUACAAUCGGAGGAAUACCAGUAUCCAUCAAACAUCGCUGCCACACAGUCCCUGUUGAAUGUCUCACUGGGUCUCCAGCUUCGGAACGAGGAAUUUGCUUGUCACCAUAUGAUGCCUGCAAAUAAGCAUGUGGGAAAAUUACCAAUCAGGUAAAUAGGUGAGCAAAAUCUGAAAAAACACACAUAUACCUGUAUGUAUAAUUACCACUAAACCACAAAUCUG